AUUGAACGCUGGCGGCAUGCCUUACACAUGCAAGUCGAACGGCAGCGGACCUUCGGGUGCCGGCGAGUGGCGAACGGGUGAGUAAUAUAUCGGAACGUACCUUCAGGUGGGGGAUAACGUAGCGAAAGUUACGCUAAUACCGCAUAUUCUGUGAGCAGGAAAGCAGGGGAUCGCAAGACCUUGCGCUGAUUGAGCGGCCGAUAUCAGAUUAGCUAGUUGGUGAGGUAAAGGCUCACCAAGGCGACGAUCUGUAGCGGGUCUGAGAGGAUGAUCCGCCACACUGGAACUGAGACACGGUCCAGACUCCUACGGGAGGCAGCAGUGGGGAAUUUUGGACAAUGGGCGCAAGCCUGAUCCAGCCAUGCCGCGUGAGUGAAGAAGGCCUUCGGGUUGUAAAGCUCUUUCGGCCGGGAAGAAAUCGCACAGGUUAAUACCCUGUGUGGAUGACGGUACCGGAAUAAGAAGCACCGGCUAACUACGUG
rnacentral:rRNA from 1 species